rnacentral:tRNA from 1 species
GGCCUGAUAGCCCAAUUGGUAGAGCACUGCACCAGCCUCACAGAGGUCAUGGUUCAAGUCCGUGUUUUUCAGGCCU